ensembl:lncRNA
AACGUCACGAGUCACGUGACCAAACCACGCCUCGGCACAGUGGCUCGAUACGUUUGCUUCAUGAGCUACAGCGCAUGUGUCGAAACCUCGGGUAUCAGAGGACCAUCACUAGUCGGCACGUCUGGUAGCAUCUCUGGCUGCUGUUGACCUUGUUUUCGGAGUAAAACACGGUGGAAGCUGAAUUAGUGAGGAUGACUCCUGCUCCUGUCAUCUCUAAGCUCCUCACACAUCUUUACCUGCACAUGAGGAAAAUCACUCCUGUAGAAUGCAGAUGUUCAGAGGGAGAUGAUGCCACAUCUGGUCCAGCCGAUGGAAGGUCUUGAAGUUCUCUGACUGGCCUCGACUGAAGAUGGUCGUCUCACUGGAUUUAAGAUGCACAAUGAGGGACGUCUGCAGAGACUGAGAAAGAGUCUCACCACAUCCUGACAUGAGGAAAAAGACUUUAUUGAAGACUACAAUGAGAAAAACUAUCAGACAGCAGACGGCUGCAUUCAAGGUGAGCUCUGAACAUUUGAUCUAGAACAGGAAUUCAAUAAUGGCAGCAUGAGCUUCAUUUCAGUCUGUAGCUGCUGAAUUCAUGGAUGAAUCAUCUGGCACUAGAGAAGAAGACCAUCAAACAUCCACGUCAGCUGAUGGAGGUCCAAGAGUCUCACCAAACAAACAACCUACAGAGUGAAGACCUCAAAUCUGAUUGGACGGCCUCCUAUUCAGCCACAUGUGUGAACAAAUGCCUCUAAGUUGAUUUGUUUUCUAAAAUAAAUCUAGUUUGAGUCCUG